UCCUGGACGAAGUCUGACGGAGCAACGCCGCGUGAGUGAUGAAGGUUUUCGGAUCGUAAAACUCUGUUGUUAGGGAAGAACAAGUACCGUUCGAAUAGGGCGGCACCUUGACGGUACCUAACCAGAAAGCCACGGCUAACUACGUGCCAGCAGCCGCGGUAAUACGUAGGUGGCAAGCGUUGUCCGGAAUUAUUGGGCGUAAAGCGCGCGCAGGCGGUUUCUUAAGUCUGAUGUGAAAGCCCCCGGCUCAACCGGGGAGGGUCAUUGGAAACUGGGGAACUUGAGUGCAGAAGAGGAGAGUGGAAUUCCACGUGUAGCGGUGAAAUGCGUAGAGAUGUGGAGGAACACCAGUGGCGAAGGCGACUCUCUGGUCUGUAACUGACGCUGAGGCGCGAAAGCGUGGGGAGCGAACAGGAUUAGAUACCCUGGUAGUCCACGCCGUAAACGAUGAGUGCUAAGUGUUAGAGGGUUUCCGCCCUUUAGUGCUGCAGCAAACGCAUUAAGCACUCCGCCUGGGGAGUACGGUCGCAAGACUGAAACUCAGG
rnacentral:rRNA from 1 species